GAUCAUGGCUCAGGGUGAACGCUGGCGGCGUGCCUAAUACAUGCAAGUCGAACGCUUUGUGGUUCAACUGAUUUGAAGAGCUUGCUCAGGUAUGACGAUGGACAUUGCAAAGAGUGGCGAACGGGUGAGUAACACGUGGGAAACCUACCUCUUAGCAGGGGAUAACAUUUGGAAACAGAUGCUAAUACCGUAUAACAAUAGCAACCGCAUGGUUGCUACUUAAAAGAUGGUU
rnacentral:rRNA from 1 species